AUGCUGACGAGCGGCGGACGGGUGAGUAAUGCAUAGGAAUCUGCCCGGUAGUGGGGGAUAACCUGGGGAAACCCAGGCUAAUACCGCAUACGUCCUACGGGAGAAAGGGGGCUUCGGCUCCCGCUAUUGGAUGAGCCUAUGUCGGAUUAGCUAGUUGGUGAGGUAAAGGCUCACCAAGGCAACGAUCCGUAGCUGGUCUGAGAGGAUGAUCAGCCACAUCGGGACUGAGACACGGCCCGAACUCCUACGGGAGGCAGCAGUGGGGAAUAUUGGACAAUGGGGGCAACCCUGAUCCAGCCAUGCCGCGUGUGUGAAGAAGGCCCUCGGGUUGUAAAGCACUUUCAGCGAGGAAGAACGCCUAGUGGUUAAUACCCAUUAGGAAAGACAUCACUCGCAGAAGAAGCACCGGCUAACUCCGUGCCAGCAGCCGCGGUAAUACGGAGGGUGCAAGCGUUAAUCGGAAUUACUGGGCGUAAAGCGCGCGUAGGUGGCUUGAUAAGCCGKUUGUGAAAGCCCCGGGCUCAACCUGGGAACGGCAUCCGGAACUGUCAGGCUAGAGUGCAGGAGAGGAAGGUAGAAUUCCCGGUGUAGCGGUGAAAUGCGUAGAGAUCGGGAGGAAUACCAGUGGCGAAUGCGGCCUUCUGGACUGACACUGACACUGAGGUGCGAAAGCGUGGGUAGCAAACAGGAUUAGAUACCCUGGUAGUCCACGCCGUAAACGAUGUCGACCAGCCGUUGGGUGCCUAGCGCACUCUGUGGCUAAGUUAACGCGAUAAGUCGACCGCCUGGGGAGUACGGCCGCAAGGUUAAAACUCAAAUGAAUUGACGGGGGCCCGCACAAGCGGUGGAGCAUGUGGUUUAAUUCGAUGCAACGCGAAGAACCUUACCUACCCUUGACAUCUACAGAAGCCGGAAGAGAUUCUGGUGUGCCUUCGGGAACUGUAAGACUAGGUGUCUGCAUGCGCUGUCGUCAGCCUCGUGUUGUGAAAUGUUGGGUUAAGUCCCGUAACGAGCGCAACCCUUGUCCUUAUUUGCCAGCGAGUAAUGUCGGGAACUGUAAGGAGAUCUGCCGGUGACAAACCGGAGGAAGGUGGGGACGACGUCAAGUCAUCAUGGCCCUUACGGGUAGGGCUACACACGUGCUACAAUGGCCGGUACAAAGGGCUGCGAGCUCGCGAGAGUCAGCGAAUCCCUUAAAUGCCGGUCUCAGUCCGGAUCGGAGUCUGCAACUCGACUCCGGAAGUUGGAAUCGCUAGU
rnacentral:rRNA from 1 species